CACACUUUAAAAUCAUGACCUUUUAGAUUGUUACAUAUGCCAAUACAAACCAAACUCUAGCCGCCUAGCCUCCAAAGUGUCUCGGUUUCAUCCUUCUAUAUCAUUUAAACCAUUAAAAUCUUUUAAUUAUUACAGUACCAUUUAGCAUAGAAACUUAAGAUAUGGAUUAAAUAAAUCAUCUUUACGUGUUCCAAAACAUAAUCUCUACAUUCCAACAUUUUAAAAUAAAUAGUAAGCAACAAUUACACAAUCUCUUUAAGAUGGCUUUCUCAUACUAUAAAAUUCACGGUCCCUAUAAAAUCAUCGUUAACCCAGAGAUUGAGAAAGGUUCGAAGGUUAUCGCUGAAGUUAUCGCUGAAGAAUCUAUUUGUAGGAUCAAUCGCAAUCGCAACUUUCAUCCCUAUCAGAACCGUCGAAAACCCUUUGGUGAAAUCCACCUCAAAUGUUCACAGGAAUGAACAGGCUCCACUUGAGAGCAUAGUCACGAGAAGAUCGUGUGGCGUGGAUGGAAGCUUUGCAAGUGGUGAAAGAUAUGUUUCCUUAAAUUUUCAACAGUGAAUUGAUUGCUCUGGGGGACAACAUAACAAUUUCAACGGAGAAAUCGGCUUCUGGAAGAGGGAGUGGGUGAAGCAGCUAUUCAAGCCAGUGAACAAAUUAUGAGAAAUGAAUUGGUCAAUGGUGACUAUUAGUUUCAUCCAGAAUUCCAGAUCCUGAAGUUGGCCUAACACAAUUAUGGGUAGAAAUAUCUUCUAGGUGACUAUUAGUUUCAAUCGAAUCCAGUUGGCCUAACACAAUUAUGGGGUAGAAAUAUCUUCUAAGUAAUGUUUCAUUAUAUGAAUUCUUGCAGUUGGCCAAAUUUGAAAACUACUGGUAUAUUAAUGUUCUUUUGUCUUUGUUUGAAAACUACUGGUAUAUUAAUGUUCUUUUGUCUUUGUUCAGCGCAAGUGCAGUUUUACUUAUGUUUCCAAUACAUUUCAAAUUAAUAAAAUAUAAUUGU